rnacentral:rRNA from 1 species
GGCCCGCACAAGCGGUGGAGUAUGUGGUUUAAUUCGACGCAACGCGCAGAACCUUACCCAGUCUUGACAUCCCUGGACCACUAUGGAGACAUAGCUUUUCAACCUAACGGAAGAAUCAGGUGACAGGUGCUGCAUGGCUGUCGUCAGCUCGUGUCGUGAGAUGUUCGGUUAAGUCCGGUAACGAGCGCAACCCCUGUCCUUAGUUGCCAAUUAUGGAACUCUAAGGAGACUCCCGGUGUUAAACCGGCGGAAGAUGGGGAUGACGUCAAGUCCUCAUGGCCCUUAUCGGCUGGGGCUACACACGUACUACAAUGGCAACUACAAAGAGCUGCGAAGUCGCGAGGCCAAGCUAAUCUCAAAAAGUUGACCUCAGUUCGGAUUGGAGUCUGCAACUCGACUCCAUGAAGUUGGAAUCGCUAGUAAUCG